GGAGGUGUAGCUCAUUGGUAGAGCAACUGCCUAGCAUGCAUGAGGACCUGGGUUUGAUUCUUAGCAUCGCAA
rnacentral:tRNA from 1 species